rnacentral:rRNA from 1 species
GGGUUGUUCGGUGCAGCGGUGGAGUUAAUGAGUAGGGAGUACGCGGUGCGAGGAAUUACGGGGCGGAAAGCGUGCGUAGGGUGGCUUUUAAGUCCGUUGUGGAAGCCUGUGGCUCAACCUGGGAACGGGAGUGGAUACUGGAAGGCUAGAGUGCGGUAGAGGGUAGUGGAAUUCCCGGUGUAGCAGUGAAAUGCGUAGAGAUCGGGAGGAACACCAGUGGCGAAGGCGGCUACCUGGACCAGCACUGACACUGAGGCACGAAAGCGUGGGGAGCAAACAGGAUUAGAUACCCUGGUAGUC